rnacentral:rRNA from 1 species
CAGCCGCCGCGGGAAUACGAAGGGUGCAAGCGUUACUCGGAAUUACUGGGCGUAAAGCGUGCGUAGGUGGUUAUAUAAGACAGAUGUGAAAUCCCCGGGCUCAACCUGGGAACUGCAUUUGUGACUGUAUAGCUAGAGUACGGCAGAGGGGGAUGGAAUUCCGCGUGUAGCAGUGAAAUGCGUAGAUAUGCGGAGGAACACCGAUGGCGAAGGCAAUCCCCUGGGCCUGUACUGACGCUCAUGCACGAAAGCGUGGGGAGCAAACAGGAUUAGAUACCCCUGUAGUCCCUGUCUCUUAUAA